UCCCUCGUGGCGCAAUUGGAUAGCGCGUCAGACUGUUACGUUACCAUCAUCUACAUCAUCUAGAAAUGGAGCAGAGCGGCAUCUGGAGGCUGUAAGUUCGAUCCUUACCGAGGGAG